rnacentral:rRNA from 1 species
GCUGGGUAGGAGAGCGUCCCCUGCGGGGCGAAGCGGCGGAGGAAUCCUGCCGUGGACCGUUGGGGAGUGAGAAUGCAGACAUGAGUAGCGAGAGGCGGGUGAAGAUCCCGCCCGCUGGAUGACCAAGGGUUCCAGGGCCACGUUCAUCGUCCCUGGGUGAGUCGGGUCCUAAGGCGAGGCCGACAGGCGUAGUCGAAUGGAUGAACGGGUCGAUAUUCCCGUACCGGCUUUCAGCCGCCAAAACCGAAAGGGUGAGCACUAACCUCCGCGUCGUCGUCUCCCCGGCCUUCGGGCCUGGGUCGCGGCGUCGUGUUGGGACCGUAGCCCCGGUAGGUCAGCGCAGGAGUGACGCAGAAGGGUAGCCGGCCGCGGAGGUGGUUUUCCGUGGCCAAGCACGCAGCCCGUCCCCCAGGCAAAUCCGGGGGGCAUGAGGGCGAGGUGCGAUGGUGGGGCCCGUAUGGGCCGAAUCCGGUGAUCCCGGCUGCCGAGAAAAGCUUCGGCGUCAGGCUGUCAGCCGCCCGUACCCCAAACCGACACUGGUGGUCAGGUAGAGAAUACCAAAGCGAUCGAGCGAAUCCUGGUCAAGGAACUCGGCAAAUUACUCCCGUGCCUUCGGUAUAAGGGAGACCCCUGCGGGUGAACCAGCUAGCCUGGGGAGCGUGCGGGGGUGGCACAGACCAGGGGGUAGCGACUGUUUACCAAAAACACAGGAGCGUGCGAAGACGUAAGUCGCUGUAUACGCUCUGACGCCUGCCCGGUGCCGGAAGGUUAAGAGGAUCCGUCAUCCCUUCGGGGGGCAGCGGUGAAUUCAAGCCCCGGUAAACGGCGGUGGUAACUAUAACCAUCCUAAGGUAGCGAAAUUCCUUGUCGGGUAAGUUCCGACCUGCACGAAUGGCGUAACGACUUCCCCACUGUCUCGACCAGGAGCUCGGCGAAAUUGCAGUACGAGUAAAGAUGCUCGUUAAGCGCAGAAGGACGAAAAGACCCCGGGACCUUUACUAUACCUUGGUAUUGGCAUUAGGCGCGGAUUGUGUAGCAUAGGCGGGAGGCUUCGAAGCGGGUGCGCCAGCAUCCGUGGAGCCGCAGGUGAAAUACCGCUCUGUUCUCGUUUGAUGUCUAACCUCGACAAGUCAUCCUUGUCAGGGACAGUGCCUGGCGGGUAGUUUAACUGGGGCGGUUGCCUCCCAAAGAGUAACGGAGGCGCUCAAAGGUCCGCUCAGCCCGGUUGGCAAUCGGGUGUCGAGUGCAAUCGCACAAGCGGGCUUGACUGCGAGACCGACGGGUCGAGCAGGGACGAAAGUCGGAGAUAGUGAUCCGGUGCCGGCGUACGGACGCGGCAUCGCUCAACGGAUAAAAGGUACCCCGGGGAUAACAGGCUGAUCAUUCCCAAGAGUCCAUAUCGACGGGAUGGUUUGGCACCUCGAUGUCGGCUCGUCGCAUCCUGGGGCUGGAGCAGGUCCCAAGGGUUCGGCUGUUCGCCGAUUAAAGCGGCACGCGAGCUGGGUUCAGAACGUCGUGAGACAGUUUGGUCUCUAUCCUCUGCGCUCGUCGGAACCUUGAGGAGGCCUGCCCAUAGUACGAGAGGACCUGGGUGGACGAACCUCUGGUAUGCCAGUCGUCACGCCAGUGGCGCGGCUGGUUGGCUACGUUCGGAAGGGAUAACCGCUGAAAGCAUCUAAGCGGGAAGCCUGCUCCAAGAUAAGGGUUCCAUGGAUCCUCGGAUCCUGUAGUCCCCAUGCAGAACACGUGGUUGAUAGGCCGGACGUGGAAGCCCCGCGAGGGGUGGAGCUGACCGGUACUAACGGACGAGGGGCAAUCUAC